UACGGGGGGGGCAAGCGUUGUUCGGAAUUACUGGGCGUAAAGGGCUCGUAGGCGGCCAACUAAGUCAGACGUGAAAUCCCUCGGCUUAACCGGGGAACGGCGUCUGAUACUGGAUGGCUUGAGUUCGGGAGAGGGAUGCGGAAUUCCAGGUGUAGCGGUGAAAUGCGCAGAUAUCAGGAGGAACACCGGUGGCGAAGGCGGGUCUCUGGGCCGAUACUGACGCUGAGGAGCGAAAGCGUGGGGAGCGAACAGG
rnacentral:rRNA from 1 species